rnacentral:misc_RNA from 1 species
GCUUUCUGUCACACAUCCUCAUAGGAUACAAUGAUUAUACAAAAAUAAACUAUGCAUGGUAGAUUGGACAAUCCAUAGCAGAUUGAAUUGUUUCUCUGCAAAGAAAAUGUAUGUCUGAUACAGAGCUUAAUUGCUAACUAAUCUCGAGAACUGAAUCAAAAGUUUCUUACAAAUUCAUACAAAAUGCAUGAAGAAACUUGAAAGUCUCUGACUGAAUGUUUAUGCAUAGACCAUUAAAACACUGGAAUGUAAAAUAAUGCAGUUUUGUAGUACUUGAUUGAUUAUCUCCAUUAAAGAAAAACAAAGAAGUUGUGUCACUGUAGAACAACUUCCAGCUCUCUUCCACCUCUCUGGAGACAACAGACAAAUUUUCCCAUGUCGCCCAUUUCGAAGAAGGAAGCCUGAAUAGCAUUGAAUUGCCAAGCAGUAGCCUCUAAGGAAUCAUCCGAGCUAACAGAACCGGGUGGCGUGAGCUGCG